GGAAUAUUGGACAAUGGGCGAAAGCCUGAUCCAGCCAUGCCGCGUGAGUGAAGAAGGCCUUAGGGUUGUAAAGCUCUUUCACCUGCGAAGAUGAUGACGGUAACGGGAGAAGAAGCCCCGGCUAACUCCGUGCCAGCAGCCGCGGUAAGACGGAGGGGGCUAGCGUGGUUCGGAAUUACUGGGCGUAAAGCGCGCGUAGGCGGCCGGUCAAGUUAGGCGUGAAAGGCCCGGGCUCAACCUGGGAACUGCGCUUAAGACUGAUCGGCUCGAGUCCGGGAGAGGGUGGUGGAAUUCCCAGUGUAGAGGUGAAAUUCGUAGAUAUUGGGAGGAACACCAGUGGCGAAGGCGGCCACCUGGCCCGGCACUGACGCUGAGGCGCGAAAGCGUGGGGAGCAAAC
rnacentral:rRNA from 1 species